rnacentral:rRNA from 1 species
GACGAACGCUGGCGGCGUGCUUAACACAUGCCAGUCGAACGGAAAGGCCCUGCUUUUGUGGGGUGCUCGAGUGGCGAACGGGUGAGUAACACGUGAGUAACCUGCCCUUGACUUUGGGAUAACUUCAGGAAACUGGGGCUAAUACCGGAUAGGAGCUCCUGCUGCAUGGUGGGGGUUGGAAAGUUUCGGCGGUUGGGGAUGGACUCGCGGCUUAUCAGCUUGUUGGUGGGGUAGUGGCUUACCAAGGCUUUGACGGGUAGCCGGCCUGAGAGGGUGACCGGCCACAUUGGGACUGAGAUACGGCGCAGACUCCUACGGGAGGCAGCAGUGGGGAAUAUUGCACAAUGGGCGGAAGCCUGAUGCAGCAACGCCGCGUGCGGGAUGACGGCCUUCGGGUUGUAAACCGCUUUCGCCUGUGACGAAGCGUGAGUGACGGUAAUGGGUAAAGAAGCACCGGCUAACUACGUG